UACGUAGGGGGCUAGCGUUGUCCGGAAUCAUUGGGCGUAAAGCGCGUGUAGGCGGUCCGGCAAGUCCGCUGUGAAAGUCGGGGGCUCAACCCUCGGAUGCCGGUGGAUACUGUCGGGCUUGAGUACGGAAGAGGCGAGUGGAACUCCUGGUGUAGCGGUGGAAUGCGCAGAUAUCAGGAGGAACACCGACGGCGAAGGCAGCUCGCUGGGACGGUACUGACGCUGAGGCGCGAAAGCGUGGGGAGCGAACAGG
rnacentral:rRNA from 1 species